CGACGUGGGGGCGUGGCUAUGAGACUGGCGGUGCGGAGGCGGGGCCUGCCGGGCCACAGGGUCAUUUCCAUGCUUGCGUGGACGCGGAGGAUGCAGGACAGUCGCUGCGAAUUUUUAGGACUUUCCAGUUCCAGUUUAGACCUGAAUGUGACGGGUUUGUGUUGCUGUUUGGCAUUCGUAAUUUAAGGAAAUCCCUUCUUCUGGUUGAAAGCACGGUGUGAUUCCCUGGCCUUCCUGCAUCAGCAUCACCUGGACAAUACAACCGGCAAAUAACCGGAUCCUGCUACAGAUCUGGUGCUGGAAGUGACACCUCAAAUGUCAGCUGAGCUAACCCAAGCUGUUUACCUUCAAGAUCGUUACCAGAGCCAAAACAGUGCUUAGGCUUUACCCACUCAGACUUCGAUGCCAGAAGAUAAAGUGAAAAAUAUAUGUGUGUCUAAAAAGGAGAGAUCUCGGGGAAUGAUUUGGGUCAACAAGGAAUGUGGAAUUCCAUUUCUCCACAAAUUUUAUUGACCCUAACAUCUCAUUUACAGACUUUUUGCCCUCCUCAUUUAGACUUCUCCAGCAAACAUAGUCCAUGGUAAAUAAUGAUUCUCUGUAGGCCUGUAACAGCAGUAAAUUCUAUUUUCAUAAUUAAAACAACAAAUAAAACGAAAAUGCUAGAA